UAUUGAGACAGAGCCAAGCUGCCGGGAGC
rnacentral:piRNA from 1 species